GAGUUUGAUCCUGGCUCAGGAUGAACGCUAGCGGCAGGCUUAAUACAUGCAAGUCGAGGGGCAGCAGCUUUAUAGCAAUAUAGAGGCUGGCGACCGGCAAACGGGUGCGGAACACGUACACAACCUUCCUUGAAUAGGGGGAUAGCCCAUAGAAAUGUGGAUUAAUACCCCGUAAUAUAGCGGUGUGGCAUCACACUGUUAUUAUAGUUUCGGCGAUUCGAGAUGGGUGUGCGGCUGAUUAGGUAGUUGGCGGGGUAAAGGCCCACCAAGCCUUCGAUCAGUAGCUGAUGUGAGAGCAUGAUCAGCCACACGGGCACUGAGACACGGGCCCGACUCCUACGGGAGGCAGCAGUAAGGAAUAUUGGUCAAUGGACGCAAGUCUGAACCAGCCAUGCCGCGUGAAGGAUGAAGGUCCUCUGGAUUGUAAACUUCUUUUAUAGGGGGCGAAAAAAGGUCUUUCUAGAUCACUUGACAGUACCCUAUGAAUAAGCACCGGCUAACUCCGUGCCAGCAGCCGCGGUAAUACGGAGGGUGCAAGCGUUAUCCGGAUUCACUGGGUUUAAAGGGUGCGUAGGCGGGUAGGUAAGUCAGAGGUGAAAUCCUGGAGCUUAACUCCAGAACUGCCUUUGAUACUAUCUAUCUUGAAUAUGGUGAAGGUAAGCGGAAUAUGUCAUGUAGCGGUGAAAUGCAUAGAUAUGACAUAGAACACCCUAUUGCGAAGGCAGCUUACUACGCCUAUAUUGACGCUGAGGCACGAAGCSUGGGGGAUCAAACAGGAUUWKAWACCCUGGUWRUCCACGCCUAACSAUGAUUACUCSACGUAKGCRAUACWCAGUAUGCGUCUGASCGAAGCAUUAAGWAUCCCCCUUGGGAAGUAYSACCUGCWAGGUUGAAACUCAAAGGAUUGGCGGGGGUUCSAMARMGGA
rnacentral:rRNA from 1 species